rnacentral:rRNA from 1 species
CAGCCGCCGCGGUAAUACGGAGGAUCCGAGCUUUAUCCGGAUUUAUUGGGUUUAAAGGGUGCGUAGGCGGCACUUUAAGUCAGGGGUGAAAGACGGCAGCUCAACUGUCGCAGUGCCCUUGAUACUGAAGUGCUUGAAUGCGGUUGAAGACGGCGGAAUGAGACAAGUAGCGGUGAAAUGCAUAGAUAUGUCUCAGAACACCGAUUGCGAAGGCAGCUGUCUAAGCCGUUAUUGACGCUGAUGCACGAAAGCGUGGGGAUCGAACAGGAUUAGAUACCCUGGUAGUCCACGCCCUAAACGAUGAUGACUCGAUGUUUGCGAUAUACCGUAAGCGUCCAAGCGAAAGCGUUAAGUCAUCCACCUGGGGAGUACGCCCGCAAGGGUGAAACUUAAAGGAAUUGGCGG